GCGGCCGUGGUCUAGCCAGGUAUGACGGCGGGGCCCCGGCCCGCAAGUCCCGGGUUCAAAUCCCGGCGGCCGCACCA
rnacentral:tRNA from 1 species